CAGUAGCCGCGGUAAAACGUAGGGCGCAAGCGUUAUCCGGAAUUAUUGGGCGUAAAGAGCUCGUAGGCGGUUUGUCGCGUCUGCCGUGAAAGUCCGGGGCUCAACCCCGGAUCUGCGGUGGGUACGGGCAGACUAGAGUGAUGUAGGGGAGACUGGAAUUCCUGGUGUAGCGGUGAAAUGCGCAGAUAUCAGGAGGAACACCGAUGGCGAAGGCAGGUCUCUGGGCAUUAACUGACGCUGAGGAGCGAAAGCAUGGGGAGCGAACAGGAUUAGAUACCCGAGUAGUCCCUGUCUCUUAUAC
rnacentral:rRNA from 1 species